UUCUUUCCCACCUCAGCCUGGGUCUGGAUUUUGCUCUGCGCAAACCAGAUCUCCUGGGAUGGCGAGGAACAGGGACCACAUUCCUGACCUCAGGCUGGUGCAGGCCACUCCAAAUAAAGCCUCUGCACACAGAAUUGUCUCUGCUAUUUGAACGCAGGGAGGCCCGGCUCUAGAGAAGAGCAGGGAUUCGAGCCAAGCAUUCAGACUGCAGCAGCAAACAAGGUACUUAAUUACAGCCCAGUCUGUGCAAGGCAGCCGGCUGCUGCUGUGAGACAGCCCCACAAAGUCUCUGGCCACGAGUGUGGCUCUUACAUCAGGGCAAAGUGGAUGUGAAAUGCGACAGUUUUGGUUUGUGCUGCUGUAAAUGAUGGUGCAAGGUGCCAGUCAGGCCAGGGAGGAUCGAGCACAAGGAUCAGGGCCAUGGAAGAUCAGGUCCAGGAAGGAGGACCAUGGAGGAUCAGGCCCAAGAAGCAGGGCCAUGGAGGAUUGGGCCCAGGGAGCAGAGCAAAGGAGAAUCAGGAAGUCCUUGAGAUCUUUCUCCACUUUCAUCCACUAUGUGACCCAUGUGGGUUGUUGGUCCCUUAACACAGAGUCCUCUGCUGCCUAGAUCCUGACAGUCUCUGGGGAUUCAGCUCUGACUGUGGCAUGGGGUGCUCAGCCCGGCCAUCCCCAGAGCUGAUUGCUCCAGCUCUGCUCUGGCUAUCUAGACCUUGCUGUGCCACGCCCUCCCGCUACUCACUUCUAAGCACCUCCACACAUGGAAGUGAACAUCAAGAGACUGGGCCCUGGUGGGCAAUUCCUGGAGCUUACAGCCAUGCUGGAGGUGCCCUGGGAACAGUCGCUGUAGUUGCACUGUCUCUGAUCCCAGCUGGGGCCAGGACAGAUGACAGAUGUCAGUUUGUAGCUGUGACGUGAGACAGAGAGUCAGGACAUCUGGGCUCUAGGCCAGGCUCUGAUCUGCUGAGUGACUUUGGGCACCAAAUGCUGGGAGAUUUGUCCAGAUCAGUGUUUGAGUCCCUUUCCCCCCAGCAAAGGCUCUGCCAGCAUUCAGCCCGCCCAUCCGGCAGAGCUUGGCCCCGGUGGCGUUUGGACUGCAAAGGAAAGCUACCCAGUUUUCCCCUUCGGCUUACGGAGGUGCUGUUAAGGCAGGUAGUGUGGCCUGCUGAGCUGCAGGAGACAUGCGUUCUAGUCCCAGCUUCACCCUUGGGUAAAUCGUUAUGACUUGGUUUCUCCAUCUGUAAAACGGGUGACUAGACUGACCAGCUUAGAGAUCAAUGGAUGAAAAGCUGCUGUAAAAAGUGCAUGGUGAUAAUAAUCGUAACAGCAGCAAGGGAUAGUGCCUGGCUACCAGCAGAGACAGAUGAGACUCAAGACCUGAGUUUACCCAGGCCAGGCCUGGCCAGCCCUGUGAGUAUGGGGACGAUCUGUGACAGAAGCCAUUAUACUGGCAAAUCCGUGUUUUGCUGGCUCAGCUGGUUUCACUCAGGGAGGCUGGUUGAGGGCAACUGCACCCGUAUUUCCCCUCAGUGGCCCAGCAAGGCCACCCACCCUCAGGAGGCCAGCUCCCCAGCCAUUGCUUUUCUGGGAGCAGCCCUUCUGGCUGGGGUACCUCCAGGCUGCACUGUUCCCUGCCGGGUGUUCAGGUUGCCCAAGGACACCUGCUGGCUUUCUCUUUGGAGACGGUGAACGGGUGCAAUUGCCUCUCUCCACCUCCCUGUUCAAUACUAUGACCUGGUGUCAUUGCUACAGUUAUAAGGUACCCCGCAGCAUUUCCUAGACACAUCUGCUUUAUUCUCAAGGUAAAAGCAUUACGGAGAAAACACAUGCAGAACAACUAAAGAACCUACACGCCUGCCAAUCAGCUCACCUGCAUUCCUCCCACCCUUCUCAUGGAUUGUGGCAGCAGGAGUCCUUCGGACACCCAUCCCUUGUUGGUACAAGUUCAUCGCAGCUUCAGCUCUAAUUAACUGCUCCGUCUUAUGGGGCAGCAGUAGGCCCCGUCCUUCCAACCCUUCCCAAAGGAUUGGGGCCCUCUGUGGCCCUGGGGUCCUGUCCGUUUGCUGGAUCAGGGAGAAGGCCCUGAACCAAUUUAAAACCAGGCUAUUUAUCUAAAAACCCUUUAUCGGGCUGUUGGUUCCUGGAGAAUCCAGUUUGAACCAGUAUAUGUGACCCAUCUCCAGCGGGGGCAGCUUCUGUGGAGAUGUUACAGCCUGCCUGAAUUCGCCUACUCACCCCCUGCUGAUCUCCUAUUUACCCUUCCUAUGGAAACGAUACAUAUAAUUCCACAAUAACACAGAGACAAUUGCAUUUUUAAUACAGUGGAUCCCAAAGAUAUUAACCGAAUUCAAUAAGAUUGAACUUAUGUUCAUUCAGGAGAUUGCAGGAAGUUGUCAGUCUGUCACAGCCAGUGGAAGCUGUGAGCACUUUGCGGGUACAGUGUACGGUUAUAGGUCCUCCGGCCUUAACCUGUGAGCUCCUGGAGGCAGAGGCUGUCUUUCUGGUAUGUACACAUACAGCAUCUAGUGCCAUGGCACCCUGAUCCUGCCUGGGGCCUGCAGGCAGCGAUGGAAUACAGACAAUAAAUACUAAUAACCAUUCUGAGCUGUGCAUGGGUACUCUUUUUACAAAAAGCCCAAACUAACCCUCAAAUUUAAACAGUGCAGUACUCGGGGGUGUUCCGAGCCCAUUUGCUGAACUCCGUUUGCUGGCAGCAGUGGUAGGCUGUUAUCCUCUUACGUGGACCAGGUCACUGGAGGGCUCGACACGGACUUUCCCAGCGUGUUCCAUUUGCACACCAUCACAAUUUGCAGAUUCUGUGUCUUGAGCCUUUCUCCACAACCCUGCCGUGGCUUCUUUCGGAUGGAAGGGUUCCAAAGCAUCACAGGGAUCACCAGGUAGUUUCUGAGUAGAGUGUAAAUCUGCAGUCACUUCCGUGGUGCCCUGUCCUGUGUCUGCAUUGACAUGGGGAUCAGUGAGAUUAGGGGUUGCGCGAUCAUACUGGAAAAGGCAGGAAGGAUUGUACCCUUUGUUGUGUUCUCCUGGGACUUGUCCCACACAAGGGGGCUCUCACCCCUUCCCUAAGGGGAGACCGUCAGUUUAAAUUCUCUCGUCCUUCAUUCCACCCCAUCACUCCUAGAUGCGCCCCUUCAUGCCAAACUGAUUCUUCUCCUUCUCUGGUGUUUACCUACCUCAAAUAGAGAAAUGCAGCCACCGCUAGGGUGGAGGGUGAUAAAGGAGGUAAAACGAGGGGAAGCUGUGCUCCUUUCCACAGCAGGAAUUGGGGCAUUUAUCUAACAAAUUCAACAGGGUUUGAACUACUGGAACAUCAGCCACACAGCCCAGCCACUUGAACUAAAGGUAGCAAUAGUAGGUUGUUAUAUUCUUCUAUGGAAUAGUAACUGGAGAGCCGGGAGGGGGAGGGAGGCACGACUCACAUUUUCCAAGCGGGUUCCAUUUACACACAAUUUGCAGCUGGCUGGCUCUGGCUGGCACUGCGGCGCGCGUGCGGUGCAGAAGGAGGAGAGGUCAGACAGGGACAGAAUGUACCUUACAGCACACGCUUGGGAGCUGAAGAGCCAGGAGCUGGCAGAGAGCUGUGAUGAAGCUGCAGUUUCACCGCCAAAAAA